UGCCAGCAGCCGCGGUAAUACAGAGGGUGCAAGCGUUAAUCGGAAUCACUGGGCGUAAAGGGUGCGUAGGCGGAAUGAUAAGUUUCAUGUGAAAUGCCCGGGCUCAACCUGGGAUGGUCAUGGAAUACUGUUAUUCUAGAGUACAGUAGAGGUUAGUGGAAUUCCCAGUGUAGCGGUGAAAUGCGUAGAUAUUGGGAGGAACACCAGUGGCGAAGGCGGCUGACUGGACUGAUACUGACGCUGAGGCACGAAAGCGUGGUUAGCAAACAGGAUUAGAUA
rnacentral:rRNA from 1 species